UACGGAGGAUGCAAGCGUUAUCCGGAAUGAUUGGGCGUAAAGCGUCCGCAGGUGGCUGUGUAAGUCUGCUGUCAAAGAGCGAAGCUCAACUUCGUAAAGGCAGUGGAAACUACACGGCUAGAGUGCGUUCGGGGCAGAGGGAAUUCCUGGUGUAGCGGUGAAAUGCGUAGAGAUCAGGAAGAACACCGGUGGCGAAGGCGCUCUGCUAGGCCGCAACUGACACUGAGGGACGAAAGCUAGGGGAGCGAGCCGG
rnacentral:rRNA from 1 species